GGCGAACGCUGGCGGCGUGCUUAACACAUGCAAGUCGAACGGAAAGGCCCUGCUUUUGUGGGGUGCUCGAGUGGCGAACGGGUGAGUAACACGUGAGUAACCUGCCCUUGACUUUGGGAUAACUUCAGGAAACUGGGGCUAAUACCGGAUAGGAGCUCCUGCUGCAUGGUGGGGGUUGGAAAGUUUCGGCGGUUGGGGAUGGACUCGCGGCUUAUCAGCUUGUUGGUGGGGUAGUGGCUUACCAAGGCUUUGACGGGUAGCCGGCCUGAGAGGGUGACUGGCCACAUUGGGACUGAGAUACGGCCCAGACUCCUACGGGAGGCAGCAGUGGGGAAUAUUGCACAAUGGGCGGAAGCCUGAUGCAGCAACGCCGCGUGCGGGAUGACGGCCUUCGGGUUGUAAACCGCUUUCGCCUGUGACGAAGCGUGAGUGACGGUAAUGGGUAAAGAAGCACCGGCUAACUACGUG
rnacentral:rRNA from 1 species